UUUGUAUUCCUGAUGAGGAUGAAGUGGCUCUACGAGAGAGUGUGAUUCCGGAACUGGAAUCGUGCAUCCGUGAAAAGUACCAAGAUGCUAACCUCACUCUGUACGGAUCGUCAUGCAAUGGCUUCGGUUUAACCAGCAGUGAUUUGGAUGUGAGCUUGACAUUUGAGCACAGUAAAGAUGGCAAGGAAUUUCCCCCCGAACGUGUCAUCUGUGAUGUGGCGGGAAUACUGCAGCAGAACAAUACUACAGUGACGGGGGUAAGAACUUUUAUAAAGGCCAAGAUUCCGUUUUUGAGGUUGAAGCACAUCCGGACUGGACUACAGGUGGACGUCAGCUUUUAUAAUACUUUGGCCCUGUUCAACUCUAGGCUCCUCAAGGUGUACACACAGAUUGACGAGCGAGUACAGAUUCUUGGGUACACUUUCAAGCACUUUGCA